CUCGCCCGGGAGAGACGGGCGCGCUCCCGCCGCCGCCCCGCCCCCGAAUUCGAUCGGAAAAGGGAGGGGCCGAGCGGCGCCAGCUAUGGGGCCGCACCCAUUGGCUCCCACGAGGCGCCUGCGCGUUGAGCUCUGUGGGCUUCUUGCCUAUGGGCAAGUGAGACUACGCCGUGACGUCGACGUUGCCCUGGCAACCUAGGGACGCUCUUAGAGUUGUUGGACCGCCCAACCCGUGACUUGCGCUCUGUAAGGUCAUGACCUGUGUGUGCGGAAAAAGCCCAAAAUGAGCCUGGUUUAAGAGCUACCACAGGUGCUGGACUCUUCCAGAAAACCUGUCGCGUCCGUUUGGUCUCCUUUAUAACACCGUUAACUGGUUGGAAUAUACCAAUAAAUAUGCUGUUACUGCUCAAACAAACCACUUCCUUGUGUUGCCAUCUUCAAUCAAAAUGUAGACUGCUAUAGAUAACUUGGAAAACACAGAAAACAACAACAAAAAGGUCAUCUGUGAUCAUGCCCUAGAGAGAACUACUUUUGAUAUUAAGCUGGGGAGGAUGAAGAUCUAGCACCACACACUAUCUUCUUACCUUCCCAUUCUGCUUUCAACAUAAACCAGAGACCAUUAGGAACACAGCUGAAAGCAAGUUAAAUUUAUUAUUUUCUGCAACAAAGAAGACCCUACAUCAUAGAGAGCAAAGACAAUAUCAAACAGUCAGAAGUCCUGCUAGGCUUUUUUGUGAUCAAUUUUGGAAUCAAUAUAACAGGCCUCUGUAACUGCUGCCAGCAGUUUCUGAUUCAUCAAAGACAUCACUCUCAAGGCUGGUUGGUUGGCCAGAGUUUCUCAUCAAGGAGUACAUGCUGUUUGCUCCCCAGAUGGACAGCCUGGAUGAGCUACAAAUCCACAGAGCCUGGGACACAAGAAAUUCCAAUGCUCAACAAAUGCUGCAAGUAGGUCAAACCUUCACUGGAAAACCAGGUUGGGUUGCAGACACCAGAUGACAGGAGGGGCAGUGACAGAUUGGAGUGACCCAGAGUACUGGAACAAUGAUGGCAAACCUAACAAGUCAGUUCCAUAACAUGUUUGCCAUGGAGAGGGAGGAAAAGGAAGUCAAUGUGAGGACACCCCCAGACAAGAUUCCAUGUCCUCUCCUCUGGAGCCACAGCAUUCCUGUGAACACACCCUGCUCAGCUCUGUGUGACUUGGGACAGUUAUAAAGCCACUCAGAGAUUUAAUUCCUUCUUUCAUGAAAUGGACAUAAUAUACCUAUCUUUCAAGUUUCUCUGGAGGAAUGGCAUAAAGUUACAUAAAGUCAUGGUCUUACUCCUGUAUGCUCAGUGGAUGGGGUUUAAUAAAUAUUUCUUAUAUCUGAAUCUGAAUGUCAAAGCCUCAUGCUGGGGUGGGUGAUAGAGAGAGACAGCUCUUGCUCUUUGGGGUUAGAGUAUCUCCUGGUAGAGGAGAUUACCUCUCCUCUGAGACAGAUGACUCAGCAGCCCUCUGUGAGCCCACUGCCUGCUGGACACAGUGACUGAGUGCUGAGGAAAGCAAUGAAUAAAAGAACCCCCUCCCCCAUGGAGCUUAUGGCCUAGUUGGAGACAGGGACAUUCAAAUAAACAAAUUACCAUCCAGAUGCUAAGGGAAACAACUAAAUCAUGCACAGGGGAGAGAGAUAACACACAGAAAAAGUAAGGCCAUGGGUUAAUCUGGCCUGCUGCCUGUUUCUGUAAAUAAAAUUCAUUGGAACACAUCUAUGUUCAUUUGUUCAUGUAUUGUCUUCAGCCACUUUUGCCCUAAAGUGGCAGAGUUGAGUAUA